rnacentral:rRNA from 1 species
GAUAAACGCUGGCGGCGUGCCUAAUACAUGCAAGUCGAGCGAAUGGAUUAAGAGCUUGCUCUUAUGAAGUUAGCGGCGGACGGGUGAGUAACACGUGGGUAACCUGCCCAUAAGACUGGGAUAACUCCGGGAAACCGGGGCUAAUACCGGAUAACAUUUUGAACCGCAUGGUUCGAAAUUGAAAGGCGGCUUCGGCUGUCACUUAUGGAUGGACCCGCGUCGCAUUAGCUAGUUGGUGAGGUAACGGCUCACCAAGGCAACGAUGCGUAGCCGACCUGAGAGGGGGAUCGGCCAAACUGGGACUGAGACACGGCCCAGACUCCUACGGGAGGCAGCAGUAGGGAAUCUUCCGCAAUGGACGAAAGUCUGACGGAGCAACGCCGCGUGAGUGAUGAAGGCUUUCGGGUCGUAAAACUCUGUUGUUAGGGAAGAACAAGUGCUAGUUGAAUAAGCUGGCACCUUGACGGUACCUAACCAGAAAGCCACGGCUAACUACGUGCCAGCAGCCGCGGUAA